AUUGAACGCUGGCGGCAGGCCUAACACAUGCAAGUCGAGCGGAGCGGCGGACGGGUGAGUAAUGCCUAGGAAUCUGCCUGGUAGUGGGGGAUAACGUCCGGAAACGGGCGCUAAUACCGCAUACUAUCAGAUGAGCCUAGGUCGGAUUAGCUAGUUGGGGGGGUAAAGGCCUACCAAGGCGACGAUCCGUCACUGGUCUGAGAGGAUGAUCAGUCACACGGGAACUGAGACAAGGUCCAGAAGCCUACGGGAGGCAGCAGUGGGGAAUAUUGGACAAUGGGCGAAAGCCUGAACAAGCCAUGGCGCGUGUGUGAAGAAGGUCUGCGGAUUGUAAAGCACGUUAAGUUGGGAGGCGUUACCAACAGAAUAAGCACCGGCUAACUUCGUGCCAGCAGCCGCGGUAAUAC
rnacentral:rRNA from 1 species